rnacentral:rRNA from 1 species
ACAGCAGCAGCCACGGUAAUACGUAGGUUGCAAGCGUUAAUCGGAAUUACUGGGCGUAAAGCGUGCGCAGGCGGUUAUAUAAGACAGAUGUGAAAUCCCCGGGCUCAACCUGGGAACUGCAUUUGUGACUGUAUAGCUAGAGUACGGCAGAGGGGGAUGGAAUUCCGCGUGUAGCAGUGAAAUGCGUAGAUAUGCGGAGGAACACCGAUGGCGAAGGCAAUCCCCUGGGCCUGUACUGACGCUCAUGCACGAAAGCGUGGGGAGCAAACAGGAUUAGAUACCCCUGUAGUCCCUGUCUCUUAUAA